AUGACCUCCAUUCGGUGCCUCGCGUUUUUGCUUCUCCUCCUGUGCCACCGUGUCCACAGUGAGGCUCCAGAGCCCGUGUUCAGAACCCGGGGCAGCAACAUCGAGCUGGGAUACUGUUUUGGAGUGGAUUACAUCCUGGUCUACAGAUCCUCGCCAGAAGGCGAUCAGCUGCUCGGCAACUCCUCCGACAGCGCGGCACCUGUCGCGCCUCCCGCUGACCUGCGGGGCCGGGUCCACGUCAACAAGCAGGAGCUGCUGCUCGGGCUGCAGAUCGCCAACCUCACGCACGCCGACUCCGCGAAUUACAGGAGGGAGUGCUGGCAGAACCGGACGCUCGUCGUUCAGGUCACGCAGCAGCUGUCCGUGUGCAAUGAGGAGGUCGACGCAGAGGAAAUCAUAGUGAGGGAGGAGGAGGAGUGGACCGAGCUUCUGUGCGGCAGCGGCUCCAUGGGACUGGAGGGCCUCUCUGUGCGCUGGUACCAGGAAAUGUAUCCGUCCUAUAAGACCACGCUCAUCCUGGAUACCAGCGUGUCACUGGAGCCGCUGGUAACGGAGCUGCAGAACCGCACAAAGGUCAAAGCCAGCGGGCUGGUGCUCGUGGUCGAGUCGGAGCUAUUAAACAAUAACCAGCAAUAUUACUGUCUUGUGAUUAAAGGUGAGAACUGCCUCGCUUUUCAAAACAUGUACCUCCCUGUUCAAAGCGAGAACAGGGAGAUUUAUGCCUCCGCAGGAGAGCGAGUGGUUCUGUAUUGCCCCUCCGAUGGUCAUAACCUGCAGUGGGACACACCAUUAGGGAAUAUUAAUGGCAGCGGCAUCACAAAGAAUCAGCUGCAUAUAAGAAAAGGGGACGAAGACUUCUCACUGGUCAUUCCUUCAGUCUCCGACGAACACAACGGCCACUAUUCCUGUAUCUCCUCUGCACUUGAGAUGCAGUACUCGCUGGUACUCUGCCCCAAAGAGGAACCCUCAGCGCCCCAGACAGUGGUCCAAGGCCAGCAGAUCGUCAUAGGCUGUGAUGCGGGGGAUGAUAGAGUGCAGUGGUUCCACAGACGAUCCAGGGAACACGUGAUGGAGCUUAUCCAUGACUCAAAAGCUGGCACGGAUUCAGUCCCAGAGGAUUUGAAGGGCAGACUGAGUUUGUCCAGGAACGGCUCCUCCCUAGAAAUCACCAACUCAGUGAUGAACGACGGAGGCGUGUACUCUUGCGUUGUACUAAGAGAGCCUGAGUUUGUAUUGAUUGAUUAUGACAGUGAUUAUGGUGACAACUUUACAGUUGGAGACUAUGAGGACGACCCAGAAUGGGAGGACUCCUACGGGUGCAUCCUUAAGCAGGACACCACCUUGACUGUGAAAACUGGAACCAGAGUUGAGCCGGAGAAAGAAACUAACUUAACCCCACACAUCUUAGGGGCAGGACUGGGAGGACUGGUACUUCUGGUUGGAGUGAUUGUCGCCGUGAUUCUUGUUAGGAGGACGGUCAGAAAAAGAAAAGAGGAACAAAAUAAUCGGGAGAGAAAUGCGACUGAGCAACCAAUGUUGGCCACAUGA
ensembl:lncRNA